UUGGAGGGCAGUCUGGUGCAGCAGCCGCGGUAAUUCCAGCUCCAAUAGCGUAUAUUAAAGUUGUUGCAGUUAAAAAGCUCGUAGUUGAACUUCGGGGUCUACCCAUUGGUCAGGCUUAAUUGUCUGUACUGGUGAGAUGGAUCUCUACCUUCUGAGGAACUUUCAUGCCAUUUAUUUGGUGUGAUGGGAAAUCAGGACUGUUACUUUGAAAAAAUUAGAGUGUUUAAAGCAGACUAUCGUCUGAAUACAUUAGCAUGGAAUAAUGAAAUAGGACGGACUGAUUCUAUUUCGUUGGUUUCUAGGAUCACCGUAAUGAUUAAUAGGGAUAGUUGGGGGCAUUAGUAUUCAAUUGUCAGAGGUGAAAUUCUUGGAUUUAUUGAAGACUAACUACUGCGAAAGCAUUUGCCAAGGAUGUUUUCAUUAAUCAAGAACGAAAGUUAGGGGAUCGAAGACGAUCAGAUACCGUCGUAGUCUUAACCAUAAACUAUGCCGACUAGGGAUCGGACGAAGUUAAUUUUAUAAUGACGCGUUCGGCGCCUUACGGGAAAC
rnacentral:rRNA from 1 species